rnacentral:rRNA from 1 species
UACAGAGGUCUCAAGCGUUGUUCGGAUUCAUUGGGCGUAAAGGGUGCGUAGGCGGCGGGGCAAGUCGGAUGUGAAAUCUCAGGGCUCAACCCCGAAACUGCAUUCGAUACUGCCUUGCUCGAGGACUGGAGAGGAGAUUGGAAUUCACGGUGUAGCAGUGAAGUGCGUAGAUAUCGUGAGGAAGACCAGUGGCGAAGGCGGAUCUCUGGACAGUUCCUGACGCUGAGGCACGAAGGCCAGGGGAGCAAACGGG